UCGAACGGUAACAGGGAUUAGCUUGCUAAUUUGCUGACGAGUGGCGGACGGGUGAGUAAUGCUUGGGAAUCUGGCUCAUGGAGGGGGAUAACUACGGGAAACUGUAGCUAAUACCGCGUAAUAUCUUAGGAUUAAAGUGUGGGACCGCAAGGCCACAUGCCAUGAGAUGAGCCCAAGUGGGAUUAGGUAGUUGGUGGGGUAAAGGCCUACCAAGCCGACGAUCUCUAGCUGGUCUGAGAGGAUGAUCAGCCACACUGGAACUGAGACACGGUCCAGACUCCUACGGGAGGCAGCAGUGGGGAAUAUUGCACAAUGGGGGGGACCCUGAUGCAGCCAUGCCGCGUGAAUGAAGAAGGCCUUCGGGUUGUAAAGUUCUUUCGGUAGCGAGGAAGGUAUCAAAUUUAAUAGAUUUGGUAAUUGACGUUAACUACAGAA
rnacentral:rRNA from 1 species